AUUGAACGCUGGCGGCAUGCCUUACACAUGCAAGUCGAACGGUAACAGGCCGCAAGGUGCUGACGAGUGGCGAACGGGUGAGUAAUGCAUCGGAACGUGCCCAGUCGUGGGGGAUAACUGCUCGAAAGAGCAGCUAAUACCGCAUACGACCUGAGGGUGAAAGCGGGGGACCGUAAGGCCUCGCGCGAUUGGAGCGGCCGAUGUCAGAUUAGCUAGUUGGUGGGGUAAAGGCCUACCAAGGCAACGAUCUGUAGUUGGUAUGAGAGGACGACCAGCCAGACUGGGACUGGGACACGGCCCAGACUCCUACGGGAGGCAGCAGUGGGGAAUUUUGGACAAUGGGCGAAAGCCUGAUCCAGCAAUGCCGCGUGUGUGAAGAAGGCCUUCGGGUUGUAAAGCACUUUUGUCCGGAAAGAAAUGGCUCUGGUUAAUACCUGGGGUCGAUGACGGUACCGGAAGAAUAAGGACCGGCUAACUACGUGCCAGCCGCCGCAGUAAAAC
rnacentral:rRNA from 1 species